CAGCAGCCGCGGGAAUACGAAGGUCCCGAGCGUUGUUCGGAAUCACUGGGCGUAAAGGGAGCGUAGGCGGCGCGGUAAGUCAGAUGUGAAAUCCCGGGGCUCAACCCCGGAACUGCAUCCGAUACUGCCAUGCUAGAGGAUUGGAGAGGUAGCUGGAAUUCUUGGUGUAGCAGUGAAAUGCGUGGAGAUCAAGAGGAACACUCGUGGCGAAAGCGAGCUACUGGACAAUAACUGACGCUGAGGCUCGAAGGCCAGGGUAGCGAAAGGGAUUAGAUACCCGUGUAGUCCCUGUCUCUUAUAA
rnacentral:rRNA from 1 species